rnacentral:misc_RNA from 1 species
AUUCCAAAGAAUCAUUGACAGGUCUGCCAGAAAAUAGCCAACAGAGAUCCCUAAUACAGAGUUUGAUACAAUUGACUUUCUAUUAAUGAUUAACUCAUCCUGAGAAUCCUCAUAAAAAAGACCUGAUAACAGCAGGAGGUAGAAAGAAGCUGAUGCUACAAUAAGAGCAUGAAAUGUAGAGAACCCCCGGUUGUUCCAUUCAAUUUUUUCUGCUUCAGUGAGUUUGUCAUAUCCUUUGAAGCACAAAGGGCUAAGAAAACCAGUUAAUUUAUAUACAAUUAUGCACAUAAUGAUACCAAAAAAGACGGAUGUCAGCCAGGUUGGGCUGACAGUGUCCAUGAGGGAUACAAGACCAGGAGGGGAAGGCAAAGCCACCAUAUUGGUUUACUGGAACUGCUAUAGAAAAUUCACCAUUCAGUCAAUGUUAAUCAGUAAGCAUAGUCCUCAUCCAUAAUGAUGACAAACUAAUAGCAAAUGGGGCCAUUAAAUUUUUAAAACCUUGGUACAAGAUAAGCCAUAUAAUGUAAUGAAAGCAAACAGUAUAAAUUAUUAAAAAUCCCAAAGUAGAAUCAAAUAUCUCGUUCAAGCAAUUAGGGGGGUCAUCUUAUGGCCACAUGAUAAGAUAGCACAAUAAAACUGCUGGAAAAAAAAAUUGAUAAAUGUAUCCACUAAUUAUUGUAAGGCUCAAGAGGAAUUGAGCAUCACCAAAUGGGAAUAAGAAAUUAGACCACAAGGACUGUAAUCAGCCAGCUGCUCAGUAAUUCAGAUAGAUUCAAGCUGGUGCUUCACCUUAUCCCUCCCUUGAAUAAAAAUUUAAGAAAAUUCUAAGCGGAAGCUGUAUAAAAUAACAGUUAAAUUCCUCGAACUUAAAUGGGUAGACACGAGCAGAAAAACUACAUUAUAGCUAAUAAAUGAAAGCACAGAUCAAGCAGAGGAAUCAACAAAGGAAUGAAAUCAAGAAAAAGAAAAAAACAAGUGAGUAAUACAAGUAAUACCUAAGGGAAAAGGUUACUCACAAUUAGCAGAGGUAAAGAAGCAGCACUUGGGUUGUUCAGAAACACAUCAAACACCAAAGAAGAAGAAGGAAAUAGAGUCCCAACAAGCAAUAUGGGUAUUGACGGCACACUAUGGGUAGAUGGGUUAGUCUGUGUUAUUAUUAUUGAGAAUCAAAAGGGAAGACUUUGGUUUCGGUCAGGAACCUCAAUUCCAAACCAGUUCCUCAAUUGAGGACGCAAAACAUAAAACUCGUCAGCGUCAGGGCAAGAUUUGGAACCCCACAGCCAUUGGUCUCCUUCGGCUCGCGUCAUAGAGAAAGAGAACGCGCGCACGCUAGAAGAGAGGAGAGCCAAGGAUCCGCCAAAAAUAAGCUCGUUCGGGCGUUCGAGGCAAGGUAUGGG